UCAUAAGGCUCAUUGGACAGCUAGUCUGUGCCCAUCACAGGCAUCACAAAGGACUUUGCCUACCUUGUCAUUAAUUCCUAAGCAGCUGUGUGUUAGUACCCUCAUUUAACAGAUAAGCAAACCAGGCUCUAAAUGAAGUUACUUGGGCAAGAUCACACAGCUAGCAUAGAAUCAACCCAUUGUGGCUCACUUUGAUCCGAACACGCCUUGUAGUGACUUGCGGGGCAGGGCUGAGAGACUCGGUACCGGGGAGUCGCGGGAGUCGGGAACACACUGCCGAGCCGCCACCUGCCCUCCUGCCUGCACAUUUCCUUUGAGCAGAGCCUUUGAGGGCUGCGAAGCUGGAGGAGUUAGGGUAAGACAGUGAGGGCAGCGCUUAGCUAGUUAGGAGGUGAGAAUCUCCGCCACGCCAGGGUGGGAAGAAAGGGUCAAGUCUGAGGUGAGGAUGGAGAUAGGUCCUAGGUAUAGAAGAGGGUUCCAGGUCUGGUGUGAGAGUGGAGAGAGGAUCAAGAUGGGAGACAGAGAUCAAGAUCUGAAGUGAUGAGAAGGAUUCAUGUCUUAGAAAGGCUGAGGGGAGGUCCUGGGAGGAUGUGUGGGUCUUCAGUGAUGGAUUGGUUAAGACUAGAAUUGGAAAAGGGACCCAGGUCUGAAGAGGGGUGGGAUUGAGGCUGGGGUGAGAGAGGGAUCUAGGUCGGAGGUGGGGUGGGAACGGGAGCACUAAGACUGGUGGAGUCCGCACUGGCGAACGGACAGGUCUUAGUUAGCUGGGUGUCGCAGCUCCGGGUGCAGGAAUGGAACCGAUGCUUUCCUCACGGAGCAGGCACCGCCCUAAGGAAGUCUCCCGCCGGCCCGGGUCCGCGACUGCGCUCGCGACAACAGGACCGGGUCACCAUCCUCCCGCCUGGCCUCAGCUCCCUGAUCCUUCUCCGAGCGAGCGACGGACCGGCCUCUGCCCACCACACGUUCCUUGUGAAAGCAGGCCGUGGGCGGUGCCCGGGCUUCAGCCUUCCCAGAAGCCGCUUUUCCUGGGGCUCUUGAGUUGAGGAGAGCACUCCCUGCCGUUUCCCCCAAAGCAGGUGAUUAUGAAGUCUUCAUCAAUCUGAAAGGGGGUUCAAGACUGCAGGAAAACUCUGUCUUUACGGAGAGACGAGCGGAGUCUGGUUCCCACUAAGUGUGGUAUUGUCGCUGGUCCCUCGCCAGUUCUGCUCUUCAUUCAUCUUCUUCAAUUCUCCCCCCAAAGGGCAACUCAAUUGUGGGCUAAAUAAAACUUUAAUUUACAUUAUUAUGGAAUCAAAGCUACUGUUCACGGUGUCCCUGUGUAGUAUAACGCAGCGGUAUUUCCUUUACCAGCCUUUUGUUUUUCCCGGGAUCAGUUAUUAUGAAAUGUGGUUUAUUAAGCUUUCUAUGUACUCAUGAUCCAUUAAUGUCCCCUCUAAUGCGCUGUCCGAACUGUAAAUAUUCACAAUGUCUUCCUAAUACGAUCGUGACUGCGGAACGGUUGAAUAGGAAGCCAAUUGCACAACUGUUGUUCUAGGGUUUCUCUUCACUGUCGUCCUGGGAUUUCAGCUCUUGUGUGAGUCCCUUGUGAUCUGGAUUCUGUAUUUAUUUUUCCUUUAGUUUGGUAGGGCACAUUCUCCAGUAACUUUCUGAAAAGGGGUAAGAUGAUAAAAAAAAAUUAAAGAUCUUAA